CUUCCGCGGGGAGGGACAUUCCAGUCCGGAGGAACGCGUCUCUGUCCGCCGGCAGCCCCUCUCCUGCUCCAGCCCAGUCACACAAGUGUUAAGUCCUCAGACAGCGGCCUCAAUAGGUUGAGCCAAAGGUCGAGACCUUUGACCCGCCGGCCUCCCGGUUCCCGGCCCAAGGAGAGACUCUCCGAUACCACGUUGGGCGCCCGAGGUGACCUCCGAGCGGGAUUUCGUGUCCCCCGCACCCCGGCCUCCUCCCGGAGAGACUGAGGUUGGGUCUACACGACCAAACAGCGCAGUCCAGACUGCGUUAUAAGGCCAUAGAUACAAACAUUAUUUGGAAUCCAGUUCUUCACAACAAAAACAUCAACAAAAGCAACCACAACAAGGGCUGAAUAAAUCAACCCAUUGAAAUGUCUCAGCCAGAGGCUGCAGCCCCACCAGGCAUCUGCCCUACAUAAGAAGCCUUUCCAAGUAAACGUAGCACUCCCUUGACGUCAAGACGAUGACUAAACUGAGGCUACCAUAGGUUUCAUGAAAAGGCGUGAUUAAUUAGAGAAGACGUGAAGGUGUAGCGGUUCCAGCACUGGACUACAACUCGGGAGACAAGGAUUUGAAUCCCCCCUCAGGCAUGGAUUUCCCCGUUUGACAUCUUCCCUGGCAUUCUGCUGGUUAGUCCCAACUCGAGUAGACCCUUUGAAUCAAUUAUUGAAUGGCGGGUCAACAUGUAGAGAAAUCGAAUGGACUCAAUAGGCAUGCUCUAACUAGGACUAACAAUAGGAUAUCAAUGGAAUAUGAUAUUAGGAGGAGGGCAAGACAGGUGUCCUUCCUGGAUUGAACCAUCCUCCCCAUAUUCCUAGAUUUUCUUAUUUUUUUAAAGUAAGUCUUUAGCACACCUAAAGCCAAAGAUUCAGGAGAUAAUUGAAAUUGCCAAACUUAGCCCAUUCCUUUGGUGAGGAAUCAACCCGUCUUGCCUUUCAGUGUUAUCACCCAGUGGAUUAAGUUUUGAUUGUGGUUGAUGAUUAGCAGAGUUAGUCCUAUAAACAAAAAGAAGAGUACAGUGAUGCUGCCCAUUGCCUACAGAAGGAAUGUCUUGGUCCAUUUUAAAGACGUUUGACCUCUCCUGAAGAAACACCACAUAAAACAAUUGACUUGCCCUACAAAAAACAACGCAGAAAUCCAGAGAUGCAGUGUAAUUGUAAUUGGGUAACAGCAUCUAACCCAGUGGUUCCCAAACUUAUUUGGCGUGCUGCCCCCUUUCCAGAAAAAAUAUGACUCAGCACCCGCUGGGAAGGGGGAAGAAGCCACACUCACUCCUCUAGCUCCGCCCCCUGUGUGUCCUAACAGGCGCCUCAGGUGCUCAGCCCUGUCUCCGGUACUUGGGAAGAGGCCCCGCCCCUCCUCUGGCCCCACCCCCUGUCCUAAUAGGUGCCAUCACCGCCCCCCCUGGAUUGGGGGGGGGGGCGCCGGUAGCACCCACUUUGGGUAUCACUGAUCUAACCAAAAACAUAAUGAAGCAGUAUCAGAGAGGCCAUAUUUCUAACUCAUGCCUUAUUCUAUGAAAAACAUGACCCUGUUUAUGUAUUUUUUACAAUGAUUCUACUGUGUUCUAGUAAAUGAAGUCUACCUGGGUAAAUGGAAAAAAAUAUGACUCUGUUUCAUUGAUUGGACUUUUUAUGUUCCCUAUGUUCGGUUUACUUUAUAAAACUCUGCCUUUUGGACUAUUGGCAUCUUUGAAGGUUACAUGCUAUUUUUAAAGGUUCUGACAUUUUGAAGAGAUAGGAGAAAGGCAGCAAAGUAAGGAAACUCGGGAGAUAUCCAGUAAUAUAAAAUCCUUAUUUUAUGUUGUGUAUUUUGACAUGUAUAUAUUAUAUUUAUUUGUGUAUGUGACUACGUACCUAUUGUAUACAAAAUUGUAUAUAUGCUUUCCCCUCUGUAACAACAGAAAUCUGUGCAAAUCAGAUAAAUUUUGAUAUUUCGCCAAACUUCACUAAAAGUAACACUUGCAAUUCUACUAUUUUGCUUAUCUAAUUCCAUUAACUCAGGCCCUACUGUUUGUACUGGAAGCAACUUUUAAAUAAACUAGACCCAAACUAAUUCCCUUUAUAUGUUUUCAGUCCAAUAACUUAAGCAAUUCCGUUCUGGAGAUGCUGAUUCAUAACAUGCAACCUAACCCCGUUUCCUUCCUGUUUUACGCUAAGAUCAGGAAGAGUGUUUCCUUAGAAAUUAAUUGCCGAAAUAAAUGGAAGGAGCCAUGCUCCAGAUCAGAUAAGGGCCAUUUUGCUUCGGAAGUCCAUGAUGAGCACAGAUUCUAAAUCCAAGAGUCCAUGGCUUACCAGUUAAAGAAUAACAAGACCACGGGAAAGUAGGAAUUCAAGUCAGGCCAUUUUGAUUAACUAUUUAUAAUUAGCAGCACCGAGGCGGGAGCUGUGCAGUCGAGCUCCAGCAGAAGCAGGGCUUCACCACCACCACGUUCUCCCCUCUCCCCCUUCGUCUUAAGCCCUAAGCAAUCGCUUGUCACCAGCAACUAUUACAUAUUUAAUGGAGGCCUUCCUUGGGGACCUCCCGCCUCAGGCCAAAGGCGCAGGGGGAGUGCAGGGGCCGGAUUUAGGAAGAGUUCGCCCCCUUUCCUCCCUCAAGCCCUGCUCCCCGGAGUCUAAGACAUCCCUUUGGUGAGCAAAAUGUGAGAAAGAGCAGUGAUUUCCUAGUUUUCGGUCCCUUCAGAACCUACAAUGUGUGUGGUAAGCGCCUUCAAGUCGCCUGUUGACCUAUGGAGACUCCCGUGAAUUCCAUAGUUUUGCUAAGGCAAUGAAUCCUCAGAAAUCGUCUUUUCCAGCUCUUUCCUUUGAAAUAUAGCCUUCAGCAUCUGAUAUUUAUCCGUGGUCUCCCAACCAAGUACUAACCACUCCUGGAGUUAGAAAUAGCAGCCUCCCAAGCCUCUCACUAUUUAUUUGUUAAUGUAUAUAUUUGUUAACCUGUAUUCUAUGUGUAUGUUGAUUUGCCAGUUUGACGGUACUUCUUUAGUGUGAGAUGGGUUAUAGACAUGUGAUGGUACUGAACAUGUUCAGACUCAGGACUCCAUUUUGUAGUCAGUAUGUGUUUGGUCUUCAGUGAAAGCAGAUGUAUGUGUCCAGAUCUCAGUUGAGGUGGAUGCAUGUUGCUGUUUGGACUUCAAUGAAAUAAAUUCGCUUUAGACCUCA